GUGUCAGCCGCCGCGGUAAUACGUAGGGGGCAAACGUUACUCGGAAUUACUGGGCGUAAAGGGUGCGUAGGCGGCUGGGAAAGUCAAAGAUGAAAUCCCGUGGCUUAACUGCGGAACUGUCUUUGAAACUUCCCAGCUUGAGGAUAAUCGAAGAGAACGGAAUUCCCGGUGGAGCGGUGAAAUGCGUAGAUAUCGGGAGGAACACCUGAGGCGAAAGCGGUUCUCUAGACUACUCCUGACGCUGAGGCACGAAAGCUAGGGGAGCAAACGGGAUUAGAAACCCCCGUAGUCC
rnacentral:rRNA from 1 species